rnacentral:rRNA from 1 species
UACGGGGGGGGCAAGCGUUGUUCGGAAUUACUGGGCGUAAAGGGCUUGUAGGUGGCCAACUAAGUCCGACGUGAAAUCCCUAGGCUUAACCUAGGAACUGCGUCGGAUACUGGAUGGCUUGAAUCCGGGAGAGGGAUGCGGAAUUCCAGGUGUAGCGGUGAAAUGCGUAGAUAUCAGGAGGAACACCGGUGGCGAAGGCGGCUACCUGGACAGAAACUGACGCUGAGGCGCGAAAGCUAGGGGAGCAAACAGG